rnacentral:rRNA from 1 species
AUUGAACGCUGGCGGCAGGCUUAACACAUGCAAGGCGAGCGAGCGGCGGAAGGGUGAGUAAAGUCUGGGAAACUGCCUGAUGGAGGGGGAUAACUAAUGGGAACGGUAGGUAAUACCGCAUACCAUCAGAUGUGCCCAGAUGGGAUUAGCUAGUAGGUGGGGUAAUGGCUCACCUAGGCGACGAUCCCUAGCUGGUCUGAGAGGAUGACCAGCCACACUGGAACUGAGACACGGUCCAGACUCCUACGGGAGGCAGCAGUGGGGAAUAUUGCACAAUGGGCGCAAGCCUGAUGCAGCCAUGCCGCGUGUGUGAAGAAGGCCUUCGGGUUGUAAAGCACUUUCAGCGAGGAGGCGUUACUCGCAGAAGAAGCACCGGCUAACUCCGUGCCAGCAGCCGCGGUAAUAC